CAGCAGCCGCGGGAAUACGUAGGUGGCAAGCGUUGUCCGGAAUUAUUGGGCGUAAAGGGCUCGCAGGCGGUUUCUUAAGUCCGAUGUGAAAGCCCCCGGCUCAACCGGGGAGGGUCAUUGGAAACUGGGAAACUUGAGUGCAGAAGAGGAGAGUGGUAUUCCACGUGUAGCGGUGAAAUGCGUAGAGAUGUGGAGGAACACCAGUGGCGAAGGCGACUCUCUGGUCUGUAACUGACGCUGAGGAGCGAAAGCGUGGGGAGCGAACAGGAUUAGAUACCCCAGUAGUCCCUGUCUCUUAUAC
rnacentral:rRNA from 1 species